AUGCCUGCCGCCCUCUCCAUGGUGCCCGCCUGCGACGCGGAGGAGCCGCUCCUGGCGGAGUCGUCGGACCGCUUCUCCAUGUUCCCCAUCCGGUUCCCGCAGAUCUGGGAGUUCUACAAGAAGGCGGUGGCGUCCUUCUGGACCGCCGAGGAGGUGGACCUCUCCUCCGACGCGCGCCACUGGGACACCACCCUCUCCAACGACGAGCGCCACUUCAUCUCCCACGUGCUCGCCUUCUUCGCCGCCUCCGACGGCAUCGUGCUGGAGAACCUCGCCUCCAGGUUCAUGUCCGACGUGCAGGUCGCCGAGGCCAGGGCCUUCUACGGCUUCCAGAUCGCCAUCGAGAACAUCCACUCCGAGAUGUACUCCCUGCUCAUCGAGACCUACAUCCGCGACGACGUCGAGAAGGACCGCCUCUUCCGCGCCAUCGACACCAUCCCCGCCGUGCGCCGCAAGGCCGACUGGGCCCUCCGCUGGAUCGACGGCGGGGAGCGCUUCGCCGAGCGCAUCGUCGCCUUCGCCUGCGUCGAGGGCAUCUUCUUCUCCGGCUCCUUCUGCGCCAUCUUCUGGCUCAAGAAGCGCGGGCUCAUGCCGGGCCUCACCUUCUCCAACGAGCUCAUCUCCCGCGACGAGGGCCUGCACUGCGACUUCGCCUGCCUCCUCUACGACAUCCUGCGCGGCAAGCUGGACGAGUCCCGCGUCUUCGAGAUCGUCUCCGAGGCCGUGGACAUCGAGAGGGAGUUCGUCUGCGACGCGCUGCCCUGCGCGCUCGUCGGCAUGAACGGCGACCUCAUGAGCCAGUACAUCGAGUUCGUGGCCGACCGCCUGCUCAUGGCGCUGGGCUGCAAGAAGCUGUACAACGCCACCAACCCGUUCGACUGGAUGGAGCUCAUCUCGCUGCAGGGCAAGACCAACUUCUUCGAGAAGCGCGUCGGCGAGUACCAGAAGGCGUCCGUCAUGUCCAACCUCAACGGUGGCGCCGCGACCCAGCACGUCUUCAGCAUCGACGAGGACUUCUGA
rnacentral:rRNA from 1 species